UUGCUUGGGCAGCAUGUCUACUAAAAUUAGAAUGAUACAGAGAAGGUUAGCAUGGCCCCUGUGCAAGGAUGACACACAAAUUCAUGAAGUGUUCCAUAUAUUU